rnacentral:rRNA from 1 species
AACGCGAAGAACCUUACCAAGUCUUGACAUACCGGGAUUAGUUUGGUGAAAGCCAGAUGAUUUCCAGCAAUGGAGUAACCGGAACAGGUGCUGCAUGGCUGUCGUCAGCUCGUGCCGUGAGGUGUUAGGUUAAGUCCUUUAACGAGCGAAACCCCUACGAUUAGUUACCAGCGCGUAAAGGCGGGGACUCUAGUCGGACUGCCGCGCAAGCAGGAGGAAGGUGGGGACGACGUCAAGUCAUCAUGGCCUUUAUGAUUUGGGCCACACACGUCCUACAAUGGGUGGUACAAAGGGUUGCAGAACCGCAAGGCGAAGCCAAUCCCAGAAAGCCACCCUCAGUUCAGAUUGUGGGCUGCAAUUCGCCCACAUGAAGCUGGAAUCGCUAGUAAUCGCGGAUCAGCCACGCCGCGGUGAAUUUGUUCCCGGGCCUUGUACACACCGCACGA